AGAGAUCUGGAGGAAUACCGGUGGCGAAGGCGGCCCCCUGGACGAAGACUGACGCUCAGGUGCGAAAGCGUGGGGAGCAAACAGGAUUAGAUACCCUGGUAGUCCACGCCGUAAACGAUGUCGACUUGGAGGUUGUGCCCUUGAGGCGUGGCUUCCGGAGCUAACGCGUUAAGUCGACCGCCUGGGGAGUACGGCCGCAAGGUUAAAACUCAAAUGAAUUGACGGGGGCCCGCACAAGCGGUGGAGCAUGUGGUUUAAUUCGAUGCAACGCGAAGAACCUUACCUGGUCUUGACAUCCACAGAACUUUCCAGAGAUGGAUUGGUGCCUUCGGGAACUGUGAGACAGGUGCUGCA
rnacentral:rRNA from 1 species